AUAUUAUCAGAGAGAAAGGAAGAAACAGAAAAGAAGGACCCCUUGUUGAGUUUAGAUCUCCUGAACACACACAGGAUCAGUUCAGAAGUUCCCAUGACACAGGGCAUUGAGAGUGAGCUCCUUGCUUGGUUCCUCACCCAAGAAGAGACCGGCCCAGGUCCAUCUCUCCUGAGUAGGAAAGGCUCAGCUCUCUGAAGAGACUUCUGCCCGGGUGCAGGCUGCCACGGGCUGGGCCUAGCUGUCUGAGGAUUCAUGAAUAAAAUUUUCCAUCCCAACAUUGAUGAAGCGUCAGGAACUGUGUGUCUAGAUGUAAUUAAUCAAACUUGGACAGCUCUCUAUGGUG